rnacentral:rRNA from 1 species
GACGAACGCUGGCGGCAGGCUUAACACAUGCAAGUCGAGCGGGGUGAUGGUGCUUGCACUAUCACUUAGCGGCGGACGGGUGAGUAAUGCUUAGGAAUCUGCCUAUUAGUGGGGGACAACAUCUCGAAAGGGAUGCUAAUACCGCAUACGUCCUACGGGAGAAAGCAGGGGAUCACUUGUGACCUUGCGCUAAUAGAUGAGCCUAAGUCGGAUGAGCUAGUUGGUGGGGUAAAGGCCUACCAAGGCGACUAUCUGUAGCGGGUCUGAGAGGAUGAUCCGCCACACUGGGACUGAGACACGGCCCAUACUCCUACGGGAGGCAGCAGUGGGGAAUAUUGGUCAAUGGGGGGAACCCUGAUCCAGCCAUGCCGCGUGUGUGAAGAAGGCCUUAUGGUUGUAAAGCACUUUAAGCGAGGAGGAGGCUCUUUUGGUUAAUACCCAGAAUGAGUGGACGUUACUCGCAGAAUAAGCACCGGCUAACUCUGUGCCAGCAGCCGCCGUAA